rnacentral:rRNA from 1 species
UACGUAGGGUGCAGGCGUUAAUCGGAAUUACUGGGCGUAAAGCGUGCGCAGGCGGUUUCUUAAGUCAGAUGUGAAAGCCCCGGGCUUAACCUGGGAAUGGCAUUUGGGACUGCAAGGCUGGAGUGCGGCAGAGGAGACUGGAAUUCCUGGUGUAGCAGUGAAAUGCGUAGAUAUCAGGAGGAACACCGAUGGCGAAGGCAGGUCUCUGGGCUGACACUGACGCUCAUGCACGAAAGCGUGGGGAGCAAACAGG